rnacentral:tRNA from 1 species
GGAAUCUGAGGCAUCGGGCGAGGCGGUUUUCCUGCUUUGCAAGCAGGAUGUCAGGAGUUCGAAUCUCCUAGGCUCCA